CACUCCUACGGGAGGCAGCAGUGGGGAAUUUUGGACAAUGGGCGAAAGCCUGAUCCAGCAAUGCCGCGUGCAGGAUGAAGGCCUUCGGGUUGUAAACUGCUUUUGUACGGAACGAAAAAGCUCCUUCUAAUACAGGGGGCCCAUGACGGUACCGUAAGAAUAAGCACCGGCUAACUACGUGCCAGCAGCCGCGGUAAUACGUAGGGUGCGAGCGUUAAUCGGAAUUACUGGGCGUAAAGCGUGCGCAGGCGGUUAUGUAAGACAGAUGUGAAAUCCCCGGGCUCAACCUGGGAACUGCAUUUGUGACUGCAUGGCUAGAGUACGGUAGAGGGGGAUGGAAUUCCGCGUGUAGCAGUGAAAUGCGUAGAUAUGCGGAGGAACACCGAUGGCGAAGGCAAUCCCCUGGACCUGUACUGACGCUCAUGCACGAAAGCGUGGGGAGCAAACAGGAUUAGAAACCCGGGUAGUCCCA
rnacentral:rRNA from 1 species